ACCUCCCAACAUCAUCCUGAAGGCAGCCCACACAGUCACAGGACAGAGGGUGAAGCUCUCCCUUUCAAUGGUUCAUGAACAAGAAGGGGAGAAAAGUAGACUCUUUAGGUUGGUGAUAUAAACAAACCUUAAGAGCUUACUGGGGCUUCUGCAAGACAGAAAGAUCAUAAUUCAGAAGCAAAAUCAAGAAAGCAAGAUUAUUCCACAAUCCUACCCUAUUUCUAUAACUAUCCCAGAAAGAAUAGUGAUGAGGGAGAAGAUUUUCCCAGGCAAGGCUUCAUGCCCUUCCUCACUCUCCCCUUCCUUGGGACCCCCAACUGCACAUCCACGCCAGGUACCAAUCCUGCUUUAAGCUAUUCUCAGAAGAGGACGUUUUAAAUAUAGCAUUUUAUAGAUCCAGAAAGAUGGUCCUAUAAUGGUGGGAUUUCACCCUUGAGAAGCCAUAAAGUUAUUUUGGGGCAACCUUGCCUGCUCCGUACCCAAUGCACAGCCCAUCAAUAAAUCACUUGCUGACCGUCCUGCUGCAGAGUUACAAGGUUGGAAGACAAGAAUUGUUUGCUUCAUUGAGUCUUGCCUUCCUGAAAAGAAAAUAUCCCAAACCGACAGCAACAAAAUAUUCAAGGAAAAUUUAUGAUGCAUAUAACUUAUUCAAGCACUACCAAGAGGUUAAAGAUAAACUAUUCUGUCCCCAGGUGUGGAAA